ensembl:lncRNA
CUCAUUUUUAAAUAUUAAUGACACAUGUAAAACCCAGUGGAAUUGCUUAUCUGGGGAUGGGGGAGGAGGGGAGGGGAAAAAACACAAAAAUUAGUAUGAUCUUUACUCUUAAGGUCACAUAUCAAUUUAGAAUGUAUUCAUGAACAUGGCAUUAGGUGUUAGUCUAAACCUAAUUUCAGCCAACCUCAUUUGAACGCUCCCACGUAGCAAUAACAAACCGGGUCCGUAGNUUUGUUUUCUCUUUUAUCCGACAAUGCACAACAGACUUAUUGUCACUGAUUCUCCCUUGCGUAGAGUAUUCCGCUGAUCUAUUUCUCUUUUUUAUAACAUACCUGAUAGUUUUAGUCUCUGCUACUUUAUAAUGUAAUUUAAGGUCUGAAAGUGUUAUUUCCAAUUGUAAUGAGUUAUUUGUUAAUUAAGUAAGCAACAAAAGACUUUUGAUAGAUUAAGUAUAGGUGAAUAGAGAGAUGAGUUUGAGUGAGUUGGAUUGCUUUAAUUCAGAGUGGAAUUCUCAAAUAGAAUGAUGGGAAAAAGGAAUUUCCCAGAGUUCUUGGGAAGGACAGUUGGAUCAAUGAUAACUCUUUGGAUGGUCCUGAUUAAGGAAGGUUGUCCAAGGAGCUUGCUCUGAGAAUUUGAGAAGAUCUGGUGAUUUAUUACUUGGAAAUAUCCUAGAAUCAAAGAGAAUCAACCAUCAAAAUGGUUGACAGAAGAGUGAUGUCACAGUUCCUCUGUUUCACCAGUGGUGGCAGGAGAGAGUAACAGCUGAGUGGAGGCGGAUGACUGAUGACGUGUUUUCCAGCCUGGUCAGGUCCUCCAGAGCAGUCAAGGCGAGAGCUGCCGCUGCGCAAAAGCCUCUGUCGCUGGAGUGUCAAUACUAAGGAAGAUUUCUCCAGUUUCAUCAUGAAAUUGAAUGCUUGCAUAAGAAGAUAGACUGGAGGGGCAUUUGACCAUAUAAGGCUUUUGUAAAGCUUCUAGAUCUCACAUACAGAGGAAGAAGAAAAGCAGUUGAGAUGAAGUAAAAUCUUUUUUGUCACCUUAUUUAACAGUCAUUGUCUUGGUAGCCAGCUUUUUAAAGCAAAUGUAGACAAUGUUUUUUAUAGACAGUAAGUUCAGGAAUACUGUAUAAAAUCCCUUUCUGAUUUUCUUUUCAUUUUUAAAAUAUCAAGCUUUCCUUUUGAAAAUGUCAUUUUAAAAAAUUUGCAACUUAUCAUGGCAAGAAGAUUCAAUUUCAUUCUUGUGCUAUGAGUGAGAUGAAUGAGACGACAUGAACCAUUUAUGCUGUUUUACUUAAUGGCCUCAUCCUUUUCUUUUUAAAACCCUUACCGUCUAACUUCAAAUCAACACUAAAUAUGGGACUAAGGAAGAAAAGUAGUAAGGGAGAGGCAAUGGAGGGAGGUCAAAUGAUUUGCCCAAGGUCCAACUGCUAGGAAGAGGCCAGGUUUGAACCCAGGACCUCAUGUUUCUAGGCCUGACCCUCUAUCUAUUGAGCUGCCUCACUGUCCCCUUCAUUCUUCACAUGUUGACAAAACAACUACAUUUUUUCUUUGUUAUUUUUAAAUUUAAAAAAUAUAUAAAAUCUGUCUUCCCUUUGACAUAAAACUCAGUGGAAUCAGAAGCUAAAAAAUAUCCAUUUUUGAGUGACCACCUAGUCAACUCCUUCAUCUGGCAGUGUCACACUUAAAAAUAACUGGGAGGGGCAGCUGGGUAGCUCAGUGGAUUGAGAGCCAGGCCUAGAGAUGGGAGGUACUAGGUUCAAAUCUGGCCUCAGACACUUCCUAGCUGUGUGACCCUGGGCAAGUCACUUGACCCCCAUUGCCUAGCCCUUACCACUCUUCUGCCUUGGAGCCAAUAUUCAGUAUUGCCUCCAAGACGGAAGGUAAGGGUUUAAAAAAAAAAAACUGGGAGUGGGCCCCUAGAUGACUCAGUGAAUUGAGAGCCAGGCCUAGAGACAAGAAGUCCUAGGUCAGUGAUGAGCAUCCUUUUGAGCUUGGUGUGUCAAAAUUCACCAAAAAAUUAAGCAUAACUCAGCUGGUGUGUCACGUCAAGAAAAAAAACAUAAUUUUGUGAUAUUUAUAGUUUAAAUAACAAAAAUGUAUAAUUGUAAUAAAUAACUAUCUAAUAAACUAAAAACUAAUUAU